GGUGCUACUCAGUGAUGGGGAGGACCUGUAGCCCUGGGUGCUCUUAAGAGCCUGGCCACCUCUCCCACACUGAGCUGCAACAGCUGCCCAAAGAAUCACCCAGUGCCUCCAAACAAUCCCACCAAACCCAACAGGAUUGUCCCCAGAGCACAGCGCGCCCUAGCAUGAGCCAGGUGGUCUGUGCCUCGAAGGACUCGCUCAUUAUGGCUCUGUAGAUGACCUGCCUCUCUGCUGCAUGGGGCCUGGCUACUCGGUCAACGCUGCAGUCAUCCUCCACAGAGAGGCUCUGUCACACCAGCUGCAGGAGGCAAAGGAAGAAGGAAAACGAUGCAUUGUGUGACCUUUGCUCCCCUUGGCUUAGCUCUCUGUAGAACUAUUCCCGGAGUCAAAGAGCUUUCUGGUAUCUGCAGGCAGUUCAUUAACCAGAACCUAAAGGGGCUGACGGGGGAUGCGUUACUGCCAAGCUUGUGGUGACCACGUGAGCCUGAGUCAGACAUUUUAUUUCGUGUAUCCCAAGAAAAACACAGCUGAGAGCCUCCCCUGGGUAAUCGUACAAUGCUGUUUGAAAAAAAACAAAUGAAAACAGCUUCAGGACAGAGGGAGACAGGAACAUGGGCCCACCCCCCUAGGGCUGCUCGGCUGUGAGCAAAGAGGGCUCUGUUUAAUUUGAGAAAGCAGCCUAGGUGCCAGGUUUGAGGAUGCCACUUUAGAAGACGAGCCCCUCUCUGAGUCACCUUGUAGAAGCCACAAACUACAGGGAGACCUGCCACAAACUGCAGGAAGGUUGCUGAUUCAGCGGGGGAGGAGGCUCUGGAGGCAGCAAGGCUGUCUGAAGAGCUCCAGUCUGUUCAAGGUGGGACUCAGCCUGCACCCACAACAAAGUAGGGAAGCGGUGUCCUACAAACCAGCAAGCACCUUCAUUGGAGAGAGGCUUCAACAGGCACAACGUGAAGGCAGAGAAGUGUCUUCUGUCCACAGGACUGGCCGGGCUCUGGAGGAUGAGGCUUUUCUUCCUCGGGACCAGGCCUAGCGAUAUGGAACAAAACAUGCCAACAGGCAAGAACCUCAAUGCGCCUUCACAGACAUUGCAGCAGCUGCUCAGAAACCACCAUGUCAAAGUGACCAUUCUCCAGUCACCCUCACCCCAGGCAAUGGAGCUUGGAUCACCCUUCAGCACCAGCACCACCAACUGACUGCAGCUUCAGGCUCCAAUGUAAACACUGAAGUGAUGUGGCCCUGGUCGAAUCAACCAGUCAGCAGAGAGCAUCCCUGGACAGGAAGCAGCAGAGCCUGGAUCCCAGCACCAUGCAUUGGUAACUCAGUGAAAUGAUUCAUUAUUUGCAGGAAUGUAGCCCCGGGAUCCUCCAGUCAGGGUCUCUGUGCUACAUGCUGUACCUCUGCACAGUAGGAAUUUGUUCAGCCAGAACAGCUUAUGACCUAACUGAAGAAGGAAGACAAAGGGUGGAAGAACAGAUGUCCCCAUUUUGCAGAGAUAGUAAGCAACUUGCUAAAGCUGCCCACGUGUGUCCAGCCAACGAUCUGCAAACAGGCUCCAAAGACAGCAACCCCUUCACACAAACCUCAGAACAAGUUACCCUCAUUCUCACAAUAUAAGAAUCCCUCAAGUCAUGCUGACAAAGCAUAGGACAUUUACAAACAAGGUUAGCUUCCUUCAGAGUGAUUUCAUUGUUUUUUCCAGGUAUUAGUUCUAGAGGAGAGAGAGUGCCAGUCCGCGUUCACCAAAACUAUCUCCGAGGGUGGCUUGGCCUGCCCUCUCUUGGCAUUCACAGGUCAGCAGCCAGACGACCCAGAUGAAAGACACAGACAUGCGUAUGCAGCCGCAGCUGGCACAAUCACCUGUCUCAUGAAAAAUCCCAAAGAUUCUCUAUUAUCUGAGGGCACCAUCUCCUGGGCAGAGGAAGAAAUACAACAGAACUGCACUUGCCACAGAUCUGAAUUUUUUGUGCAAAAUACUCCAGAAAAAAGCUUCGUGAUCAAAUCAGAGAGUGCAAACUGGCAUGUCACAGACAGCUCUGUCAUUACAAGCAUUUCCAACUCUAUAGUCUGCACAUUACUCCUCUGAGGAUCAUCUGGACUGCAAAGGUCCAACUGCAGAGACAAAGCGGAAACUUGUUGAAGAGCCCUAAGGGAGCCUCAGUUACUAUCUCCAGACAGCUCCCAGCUGGCUGCCUCUUUCCAGCCAACCCAGCACCUCAAUUAUUUAUGACUUCAGAGCACUGUCACUGAGCAAUUUUCACUGGAUCACCUGCCAGUCAAGACUCAGUGUGGUGGGAUGCAGACUCUGCCACGCACAGACACCACAGCCCUUAAAACCCCAAACAGAGCACUCCAAAUGCAGCUUACAGGUAAAACAACUUUAUUGAUGCUCAUAUCGAACCCGUACAUUUGUAGUGAGCAUGCUCAGUUUUGAGGCCACCUCGCAGCACAGUUCACAUUAGUUGCAUAGGAAUAUGUCAUUCCAAAAUGAGGCACCACACACACAGCAGAGCAAGACACUUGCUACCCUACAGCCCGUCACCCCCUCCAGCUCAUACGUGCACUGGAGCCCAGAGCCACAGCAGCUUCACAGGGACCAGAGCCACAUGCGCAGCAGCUCACCAGGUAAAUCCUGCUGCCACAGCAAAUGCCACAGGCAGCAUCUCAUCGCCCAGAGUGCACUGCAGAUAAGGCAGAGCAACGCGUGCACUGCUCACAUCUCACAGGUGCUUUGCUCUGCAGUGGGAGGCAUCACCGGCUGGUACAGCCUAGCACAACACAGCAUCUCGCAGGACAGGUGGCCCCAGAGGCAAAUACACCACACCACAUGGGCUAGAGUCCACCCGCAGUAGAGCAAGACAGAGUGGGAUGAGGUUAGACAGCCAGAAGCACAGGACUACCUACAUCCACCUCAGUAAGCAGCAGGACAGCAGAGCCUCAUCACCAUCAACAGACAAGCAGUCAGACACAGAAGUCACUGCCCCAAUUACUGCUAAGGCAUUGCUCAGCCUCUGCUUGCUGCAGUGAGGAUUCCUGUCAGACAGCACUUUAUACAGAUGCUUAAAUAAAGGUUAUGUACACAACUGUACCCCCACCUGCCAGCAGGGAACCAGGAGCAAUUCCCUCUCCCAAAUACUAAA